rnacentral:ncRNA from 2 species
UGAAGAAAUACUGUGAUUGGUUUCCCCGGGCCGUAAAUACGAUUCUGCGGCCGUGAGGAUGAAAAGGGAAGGCGGUGAGAAUCCGCCGCAUAUUGGCCGGUGCUGUAUUCCCUCGAUGCCUGUUGGUGAGUGGUGAACAUUGGAGUCGGGACGCUGUUAAGCGCGUUGAGCCUAACGCGACUGAGUUUGUCCCUCCGGGCGCUGCAGGCGGAAAAAUAUCCUUUGCGAUGUCCCGAGAUAGUUCGGGUUAAAAGCCACUGCCUGGUGGGUGGGAAGGCGAGCAUUUGGAAAGGGUGAGCCAGAAGACCUGCCGAUCUCAGACGGAUGGA